UAUUGCGGGGGAGGAGCCGCGGCGGUAGUCGUGAUCGUAAUUUCCGGUCAGUGCACCGCGGAGUAUUAGAUUUGGAACAACACUGACAUUUGAAAAUUAGCACACUUAGUGAGUGUGGAUAGUGUAGGCCUACUACGUUUAAGUUUACUCAUGGAAGUAUGGAUAUUGGAACACAGCAUAGUCCCCUUUACGUCAUACACGCCCUCGGUCAUCCGUCGACGGACGCAAGUAGUGUGAACAAGGCGUGAACGAGGCGUAAGCGUAUCCAACCUGCUGCGACCUGCUGUGUCCUGUGUGCAGACUAGCUGCAGCAUUAUGUGGCUAAAACGCCUGAUACUGGAGGUCUCCACUAGGGGCAGACCACAGUCAUAUCCGAUCCUAAAUUGUGCAAAAGCAUGUGCAUUGCGUGCUCAUGUAAAUAAACAACAUGGAGUCACUGGUAGAGGAAAAACUGAUUAUUAUACAUUUUACAUAAGCCGGCGGCUGAAAAAUGCAUCGAAAGAGUGUUAUCAUACAGGUGUGGGAAAUCGCGGACUAGGUCCGACAGUCUCUCCGAGAAACUUUCCGCCAUGCUAAUAUAGCUCCUGACCUCGAGGUCACUGCAAAUUCUCUCGAUCAGCCACAACUUUCUUGUCAGGAUUGCAUCUUGCGGCCGCAUCGUGUUCGCUUGCGACGUUCGCAUCGGACGCAUCAAGCGGUCGCAUAAUACGCAUGGCAGCCAUGAUCCGUACACGUAUGCGUUGUCUGCAGCAAGUCAAUUCCAGCCCUAUGACAAACUAAUUACGUCACAUUUGAACUCCGUUGGGUAGCCGCUACAAAGGUCGCUAUGGGAACGGACGGCGAGGGGAACUCGGUGAGUGGGCGUAGCCAAACAGUGAGCCGCUUUCCAAGAAGUCCCUCAGUCGGAACGCGCCUUAUGCGCCAUGUGUCCUUUGGCUGGAGCAUUCCAGCUUCUGCUUUUGAUGUUAUUUGUACUGUAUUUUGUUUGGAUUGUUACUCUCAGCUAUGCGUUUUGGUACUUCUUAUUUUGAGCAAACAGUUAACGGUUAACUAAAUAUAUAAAAAAUAUAUAUAUUUACAUGAUUUAUCAAUGCAUCUAAAUAAUCAAUGGUGUAAUGCACUUAAGUGUCUUUUGUCAUCACUUAACAUUGGUCAUGCAUUUUGGGAGGGGGGAAUCAUGGUUGAAGCAUGUUCAAGCAUUUUCAUUUUUGGUUGUCAUUUUCAAAAAGUAUUAUAAUGCGUUAUAAUACAUGUUCAGAUUCAAAAUAUUUUUUGAAAUGUAACUCUCAUUAUUUAUUUUGAAAAUAUUUUGUAUAUGUACUGUAUAUACAUAGAUACACCAUUCUUUUAAUCUAUAUGGAUAUAGAUAUGUAUGCAUAUAUAUAUACAGUAUAGGCCUACACCCAGAUACAUACAUAUGCGUGUAUACUGUAUGUAUAUAUAUAUAUAUAUAUAUAUAUAUAUAUAUAUACUGUUUGUAUAUGUAUGUAUAUUUUAUGCAUGUAUUUUAUUUUUUUAUUUUUUAUUUUAACUUACAAGUUAGAAAUAUGCACUCUGUAUUGUAGAGCUAAGUGGCCUUCCCUUCAUGUACGUCCCCGAUGGUUGGGUUAUAUUUAUAGAAUCUGCCUCGGACCGGUUCCUCAAUGACUGAAAUAAAAUAAAGCGUUGCUGUUUCAGUGCUUUUUGAACAGAGAAACCGCAGCUUCCCUCCUCUGUUCAGUUGUAUUUGUUUACAGGCCGCUCUCGGCCUCUCAAAAGGAUGGCGACGGCGAUGUGAGGUCCAAAGUCCUAAUGUGGUUUCUAUGUAUUUAUGUUAAUAGUCCUUGUAUAGUGUGUGUGCGAUGGAUGGUCACCACGUUCACUAAAUGUCAGCAUUCAACACCUGCUCGGCUUAAUAAUAUCUUGUCAACUCUUAAAUAAAAAGCUUUUACA